UCUAGAAGCAUCCAUUAUCUCUCUCAUCCCUGACAAAAAAGAGGCAGCACCAUUUCUACAAGCAACUCUUCAUCUUCUUCUCAACGGGGAGUCUCCAAUACUUACAAUUUUAGGUUUAUGUUUUCUCUCAAAUUUAUGGUCCUUGUGUAUGAGAAGACAACCAAGGAGGAUCUUGAGUUGACCUUGGAAUCAAACAUCUCAAAUAUUCAUAUAAGAUAUUGGCUUUCAAAACAUCAUCUCAAGUACCAUGUGCCUGAAACAUACAAAGUUAUGUAAAUUUUUAUCUAUUUGGUCAAUAUUUGGCAUCUACAAAUGUAGAUAUUUAUCACUGUUCUUACGCUAUUAUAAUAAGUUUCACGAUUUUACUUUUUA